rnacentral:rRNA from 1 species
CGCCUGGGGAGUGCGGCCGCAAGGUUAAAACUCAAAUGAAUUGACGGGGGCCCGCACAAGCGGUGGAGCAUGUGGUUUAAUUCGAUGCAACGCGAAGAACCUUACCUACACUUGACAUGCAGAGAACUUUCCAGAGAUGGAUUGGUGCCUUCGGGAACUCUGACACAGGUGCUGCAUGGCUGUCGUCAGCUCGUGUCGUGAGAUGUUGGGUUAAGUCCCGCAACGAGCGCAACCCUUGUCUUAGUUGCCAGCAUUAAGUUGGGCACUCUAAGGAGACUGCCGGUGACAAACCGGAGGAAGGUGGGGACGACGUCGAGUCAUCAUGGCCCUUACGUGUAGGGCUACACACGUGCUACAAUGGCAUUUACAGAGGGAAGCGAGACAGUGAUGUGGAGCGGACCCCUUAAAGAAUGUCGUAGUCCGGAUUGGAGUCUGCAACUCGACUCCAUGAAGUCGGAAUCGCUGGUAAUCGCAGGUCAGAAUACUGCGGCGAAUACGUUCCCGGGCCUUGUACACACCGCCCGUCACACCAUGGGAGUGGGAUGCAAAAGAAGUAGUUAGUCUAACCUUCGGGAGGACGAUUACCACUUUGUGUUUCAUGACUGGGGUGAAGUCGUAACAAGGUAACCGUA